GACCUUGCGUCUUGCCUUUCAUGAUUCUAGGUCAAAGGGAUGUACCCUAAAGGUUUUGAUUUAUUUCAAUCAAUCAAUCCAUCAGCCUGUAUGCGUCCACUGCUGGACAUAGGCAUUUGAUUUUUUUGCGAGUGUCAAAAUAUGCGGCAUAAAUGGCUAUGUUUUUUUGAUUGCAAUGACAUAGAAGCUUGAUUUUUAUACAACUCACGAAGUGAAUUAAUAAGGGUUUCUUUUUUACCUUUUGAGGUACGGAAAUGGUGUGAACAGUUUAAUAGGAUAAAGCAUGGAUACAUCAUCCUGAACAUUGUGUUUUUCAGGGUACUAGAAAAUACUUCCAAUUAGAGAAUGAUUUGAUUACGCAGUUAGUUUUGUACUCAGUCUAGCGAGUAUGUACUUGCUGUUUUCUUCCCAAUGUGUGAAAAACAGAGCUCCUACACUGCGGAUUCUUUAUUAUUCGGAAUUCUUUUGUAAAUAUGGUUUCUGGUUAUGUCUCGUACAUGCAAUAAAACUAUUCAUAGUUCAGCCAUUCGUUGCCAAUGGCGGGCAUUGGAUACCGGUUUCUAUCUUAGGCCUCGGAACGCAAUCCGCGCAACACAGCAAACUUCCUUUAUCUCCCAUUAAGUUACUUCUAAUAUCUGUUUUCCGACAAUACGAGGAACGUGGUUAGUCAAUUUACUGGGAGCUCCUUGAUACUAAACGUUCAUGUAACUAUAUAUUUUUUAUGUUAAUGCUGAUUUAAUUAAUCGCUUGGAGUUGUAUUAUGUAAUAUUAUAUUGUAAGGGCUUCUUUAUGUGCGGCAGUGGGUAUAAUGUUAUAGACUGUAUAAAUUCAUAUGUGCAUAAGGGUUAUAGAAGAUAAAAGAUUGUAAUCUAUUAAUUGAUAUAUCAAGUUCGGGUUCCAGUACACUACUCCCACUGUGUCCUUUGUAAAAGUAUGUAUGUUAUUAAGGUAUAAUAUGUUAAGGAUGUUGUUUUGUGGUGCGCUGAUGGAAGCGAGUUGUUAUGUUCAGACUUUUAGGAGUAGUGCUGCUGAGCUUAUUGAUUCAAUUCAAUUAUGCAAAUUUUCACUCAAACAGUUAUUUUUUUUCAUGUUAAUAAAAGAAAAUAUACGCAUUAAUAUUAA